GACCGGCCUAAGUUUUACCCAACUCUCCUAAAGUUUUACCAUCUUUUGCUAUACCAGACUUGAGCUGGGAACUUUACACGAUAGCCAACCGACUCAAUUUAGGUGCUGUCAAGCUUGCAUCACGUUCGCUGGAACCAUAGAGUAUAAAACUGCUAUAAAAAUUAUUUUCUACACUGCAUGUAUCAUAUAGCCAUGCAUGCCAUCAAUCAAAAUCGCCUUUCUAUUUAUGAAUUUAUUCAUUAAGCAUGUAUCUCCUUGUAUCAUUAUAAAAAUGAGUGGUUAUGAUUGAUGGCGUGCAUAACCAGAUGAUGCAUAUGGUGUCUGGAAUAUUAUUCUCCU
rnacentral:lncRNA from 1 species